CAUCCUCCAAGGCUAAAUACUCCUGACUGACCGAUAGUGAACCAGUACCGUGAGGGAAAGGCGAAAAGAACCCCGGCGAGGGGAGUGAAAAAGAACCUGAAACCGUGUACGUACAAGCAGUGGGAGCCCCACCACCAAAGCAUUCUCUGGUGUUGAAGGCCCUGCAAAGCAGCAUCGCGGUGGCGGAGCGUCGUUUGCGACGCCCAACACACAAAACAAGCGGUGAGUGCUUUGGGGUGGGGUGACUGCGUACCUUUUGUAUAAUGGGUCAGCGACUUAUAUUCUGUAGCAAGGUUAACCGUAUAGGGGAGCCGUAGGGAAACCGAGUCUUAACCGGGCGUUAAGUUGCAGGGUAUAGACCCGAAACCCGGUGAUCUAGCCAUGGGCAGGUUGAAGGUUGGGUAACACUAACUGGAGGACCGAACCGACUAAUGUUGAAAAAUUAGCGGAUGACUUGUGGCUGGGGGUGAAAGGCCAAUCAAACCGGGAGAUAGCUGGUUCUCCCCGAAAGCUAUUUAGGUAGCGCCUCGUGAAUUCAUCUUCGGGGGUAGAGCACUGUUUCGGCUAGGGGGUCAUCCCGACUUACCAACCCGAUGCAAACUGCGAAUACCGGAGAAUGUUAUCACGGGAGACACACGGCGGGUGCUAACGUCCGUCGUGAAGAGGGAAACAACCCAGACCGCCAGCUAAGGUCCCAAAGUCAUGGUUAAGUGGGAAACGAUGUGGGAAGGCCCAGACAGCCAGGAUGUUGGCUUAGAAGCAGCCAUCAUUUAAAGAAAGCGUAAUAGCUCACUGGUCGAGUCGGCCUGCGCGGAAGAUGUAACGGGGCUAAACCAUGCACCGAAGCUGCGGCAGCGA
rnacentral:rRNA from 1 species